GACGAACGCUGGCGGCGUGCUUAACACAUGCAAGUCGAACGAUGAAGAAAAGAAUUGAAGCUUCGGCAGAAAUUCAUUUCGGAUUAGUGGCAGACGGGUGAGUAACGCGUGAGCAACCUACCUCUUACAAAGGGAUAGCCUCGGGAAACCGGGAUUAAUACCAUAUAACAUUGCGACGAAGCAUUUCGAUGCAAUCAAAGCUACGGCGGUAAGAGAUGGGCUCGCGUCCCAUUAACCAGAUGGUGAGGUAACGGCUCACCAUAGUAACGAUGGGUAACCGGCCUGAGAGGGUGAACGGUCACACUGGAACUGAGACACGGUCCAGACUCCUACGGGAGGCAGCAGUGGGGAAUAUUGCACAAUGGAGGGAACUCUGAUGCAGCGACGCCGCGUGAGUGAUGAAGGAAUGCGUUUCGUAAAACUCUGUUCUAUGGGAAGAAAAGGACUGUACCAUAGGAGAAAGCUCCGGCUAAAUACG
rnacentral:rRNA from 1 species